UCCCUAGUAGCUCAGAUGGUAAAGCAUCUGCCUGCAAUGCAGGAGACCUGGGUUCGAUCCCUGGAUUGGGAA
rnacentral:tRNA from 1 species